GUACCUACGGGAGGCAGCAGUGGGGAAUAUUGCACAAUGGGGGAAACCCUGAUGCAGCGACGCCGCGUGAAGGAUGAAGUACUUCGGUAUGUAAACUUCUAUCAGCAGGGAAGAAAAUGACGGUACCUGACUAAGAAGCCCCGGCUAACUACGUGCCAGCAGCCGCGGUAAUACGUAGGGGGCAAGCGUUAUCCGGAUUUACUGGGUGUAAAGGGAGCGUAGACGGUACGCCAAGUCUGAAGUGAAAUGCCGCAGCUUAACUGCGGAACUGCUUUGGAAACUGGCGGGCUGGAGUGCGGGAGGGG
rnacentral:rRNA from 1 species